AAUUUCUCUUUUUAUAAACUAAUGAGUUUUUUAUUCAUGAACUGCUUUCUCUGAAAUACAAAUCUGGAGCUUCGCGUGUGUAUAAAUGUAUAAAUAUAUAUUUUUUUCUUUUUUCUGUGUAAUUUCCUGUGCCACAUUCCAAUCUAGUAGAUGGCGGUAAUGUUCCUUAAACAUGGCUGCCAACCGCCAAUAAAACGAAGAAGAAGAAGAACUUCCUUUUCCUGUGUCUCUUCAAACAGGAGCGCGGGAUGGCGGGAGAGUAAACACCGCUGAACGCUUUACAACCAAAUAGGAUCCCUGGUAAAGACACAACCGAAUUCAUUCACAGUGAGUUUAGCCUCAGUAAUCUGAUUAAUAUUUGUUAUUCUUAUCUAGUCAUGUAGCUCCACGCAAACUGCUGCGAGCGCACGUACACCAAACCCCAUUGGGAAAAAUGUCAAUUUAAGGCCUGGCGUCUCUGAAUGCGAGACGCUAUUAACAGUUUAAUUUUUGGUUAAAUCUUUAAGGGAAGGUUGAUUUUGUGGGUUUUUUUGCUGCCGUAUUGUCACUUUCAACUGUUACGUCAAUUCAUUUUGGUUAUUUUCUACAUGUUAGUUUAAUUUGAAUCAAUUGGACUUAAUUAUUCAAAUCUCAAUUGAGGUUCGUGUAUGGUGUUUUUGUUUAGUAUUGUCGUUCAGGGACUUAUUUCUUCUUUCUGAUCUUUUUUACAGUUUUCUUUUAUACCCUUUUCAACGACCGACUAAGAUGGAGAGCAAACUGGAGCUGAACCAUCACCUCACUGAACUUCAGCGGUAGGAUAAAAGUUUGAGACUGAAACACAGAAAAUGAGGAUUACUUUAAUUAAAAACCAAAGACUGACAGAAAGAACUCUUGGAUUUUUGAAGAACACAUGGAUUUUUUUUAACUUGAGUUUCUUUUCCUCUUUCUUUGUCUGAGUUUUGGAUAAUUAAUUUAACUGUUGAAUCACUUUACACCUCGUUUCCUGUUAAGAUUAUUUGAAUCCAUCAUUUAAACCUAACUUUGUUGUAUUGUUUCAUUGAUAUUUUCACAGUCUGGGCUGUUUUUAAUAAAAAGUUUAAUUUUUCUAAA